rnacentral:rRNA from 1 species
GAUGAACGCUGGCGGCGUGCCUAAUACAUGCCAGUCGAGCGAACAGACGAGGAGCUUGCUCCUCUGACGUUAGCGGCGGACGGGUGAGUAACACGUGGAUAACCUACCUAUAAGACUGGGAUAACUUCGGGAAACCGGAGCUAAUACCGGAUAAUAUAUUGAACCGCAUGGUUCAAUAGUGAAAGACGGUUUUGCUUUCACUUAUAGAUGGAUCCGCGCCGCAUUAGCUAGUUGGUAAGGUAACGGCUUACCAAGGCAACGAUGCGUAGCCGACCUGAGAGGGUGAUCGGCCACACGGGAACUGAGACACGGUCCAGACUCCUACGGGAGGCAGCAGUAGGGAAUCUUCCGCAAUGGGCGAAAGCCUGACGGAGCAACGCCGCGUGAGUGAUGAAGGUCUUCGGAUCGUAAAACUCUGUUAUUAGGGAAGAACAAAUGUGUAAGUAACUAUGCACGUCUUGACGGUACCUAAUCAGAAAGCCACGGCUAACUACGUG